rnacentral:lncRNA from 1 species
ACAAGAAGAAUGGAUUUUAAAGAGAAUUAAUUAGAGCAUACAAAAUCACAUAACAUAAAACAUUCUCUUACCCACCAGCACACUCACACGAGAAGGAAAGAAACAAACAAAAACACAAAAAAGGUUUCCUCAACCUCCUAAAAACACACAAACCCCAUGAGACUAUGAGAGCAAGAGAUAAAUUAUUUCACUCUUCUCUCCUGGCCACCUGUGACUUCUUAUUCUCCAGCAACAACGGCUUGCUCACAUACCAGCACAACCACCGUGAUCUCAGUCGUGAAACGCAUCCUCCUGCAACAUUUGUUUGAAAGAGCAACAAAGUGUAGCGUUGCAGCCGGAUCUGCAACGGAUCCCUCUCAUCAGUGUAGCAACUGACAUCUUCCCCAACUGCUCGUGGUUUCAUUUAAAUCUUCAUAGAAGAACAGCUCUGCACCAGCACAACCAUUAUAUCCUCCUUCAGCAGCAAGCAACCUCUGUCAACCGUGAGCGUCAUUCACGCCAACAGCAGUAGGAGUCCAUCCUCAAGCAUCAACAACUUUGCUUCUAGCUGAGAAUCUCAUCCAAAACUCGUUCAGGAUUAGCAGCAGCUCAGCCUCGACCAUCUCUGUCCGCCGUGAGCCUGAGUCAGCCAUGGCAACCACCUUUCCAACAACAACAGCAAGCCAUGGCAGUUUCUCCUUCCUGUAACUUAUCUCUCGUCUUCUCAAGUAGCAGUGGUUGCUUUCCUCGGCCACUUCAGUAGCUUCAAUCAUGAGUAGAGUCUCCCGAGUAGCAGCAAACUCUCGCAGGCAGCUAGGGUUUAACCAGCUCAAUAACACUCUGAUGGGUUGGCUUCAACACCAGACCAACGCCAGGUAAGGUUUCUCUUCUACUUCCUUAAGUUAUAUGCUCUUUUAGGAUUAGUUCCGAUUGCUGCAUGAAACUAGAAAUGGUAUGUUAAUAUAAGAAUAAAGAUUGUAACUAGAAAAAGGCAUGUUGUGCAUGUAAUUUCUUGGCAAAAUAACUGUUGUUUAUCAUUUUGAUGCCAAAUAACAUGCAUUUAAAGUAGAUAAUGUUUUUGGGCCAAGCUUGUGAAAGAACAAAAGGAGGUCGGGCCCAAUCAUUUUUUGGGGCUAUUUUUUCCUUUUAGGCUGAGUUGUGGGUCUGCGUUGUGGGUCUGUAAACUGGACUUCAAUGUAAAGAUGUGUGCUUGGGCUAUGUUUAUGUUUAAACAUAUCCUAUAAUCCAAGAUUACACGGGAUGGUUUUUUUUUUUUUUGGAUCAAAUAUGAUAUUUGCGAUUUUUUGGGCUAAUGAGUUUAUGGGUUUUAAAGUCAGGUUUGGAUUAUUACAUUGAAUUAGAGUCUGUUGUACCUUUCUCUUAAUUACAAGCUAAAACAAUAAAAAUAUAUAUAACAAUAAUUAAAAAAACAUCUUUCUUUUAAAAAUAAAAUUUUAUUUUAAAUAACAUACGCCAAAUCUCUUAAAAAUAUAAAAAAUCAUAUCUUGUUUAAAAAAUUAAAAUACAUGGCAUGUUUUAUUUUUUUUAAUAUGCAUUUUUUAUUUAAUAAACAAUUUACUAAAUUCAUAAGAAUUUGGUUAAUAUUUCAAUAACUCAUAAAAUCUAAAUUCAUGAGAACUAAUGGUCAAUAUUUUGGUAUAAAUAUUGGACCUACAAGUCAGCUUGUAUUUAAAUAUUAGGAGUUGACCAGAAAAUUCUUGGAAUUAUUCUAAAUAUUCAUCAAUUUUAAUUGAGAGUAGUUUUCAUCACAAAGCACGAGUUGUGAAAAACCAUUUCGCCUUCCAUUAUAGGUGAAUGUUGUUAGGGCUUCUAUAUGGAUCCUUUUUAUAAGAAUGCAUUUGGGCACACGAGCCCAUAAUAAAUUCAAAAAGCCAAAUUUAUUCACAUUAAUAAAUCUUCACCUCAAGCUAUAGAUAGACCACCGGUUAGAAACUUAUCAAAACUUUUAAACCAUAUUCCUAACUUAUAAACAAAAUUAAAGUAUUUAUAGUUUAACAAGAUAAACCCUAUUGGAAUAUUAGAAAGAAAUUAUAACCUAAAUAUAAAUGCAUUUAAAAGUACUUUUAAAAUAAAAUAACAAAGCCCAAAUCUUAAUAAAUAAAGUCCAAUCAAUAUAAUAACUUAUAGGCCUCAUCAAAAGGCAUUUAUGAUAUCUGAUCACAAUAAAAUUCAUACCAUAAAGGAUAUAGAGCCUUAAAAAUCUUCUAGAAAGAUUUCAGCCCAAUCCAUUGGUCGAAUAGAAAGUUAUCACCAUUAACAUAAAGAUGUGUGCUAAACAACUUCAUCUCUUGUUUUGAUCACAUUGGUCAAAGCUUAAUCAUCCUUUAAACUCAACUUCAUGCCUGAUGCCAUUUUAGAAGGGAGUUUUUAAUCUUACUCGGCCAAAAUGUCUUGAAUCAGCCCAUUGAAUGCCUAUUUGCUUUUGGAUCUUGCCCUUGUAAUUAGAAUAAUUAAUAUAUGUAAUGGAUUUUGUGGUGUUAUUUGUUAAUUCUCUUCACCCACCUUCUCCUCAAAAGGAUUUGAUCUUGAAUCAUCACCUGUAUUAAAAAAGAAAUGGAUCAGAAACAUUGAAUAUAGUACUAAUGUUAUACUUAACUCGAAGAUCCAACUUAUAUUAAUUAUUGCUGACCUAUUCAAGAACUUAAAAUGAGUCAUUCCUUCUAGGAUGCAACUUAGAUCUCCUAUAGGAUGAAAAUCUUUCCUUCCUUAUAUGCAGCUAAAUCCAAUCACCAGGUUCAGAAACCGAGUACCUAUGACCUUUGUUAGCUUUAUAUUCAUUUUGUUCAUUCUUUUUUUUUAUGUGUUACCAAAAACUCAUGAAGUUUCUUCACCAUUUCUAUACCUUUUGCACUAACAAGGUUAUGAAAAAUAACUUUAUCCAUGCAAAAAGUAUAAUUAUUUAAAUUGGUAUACAAUUUUUCAUUUCUCAAAACAUUAAGCACAAAACACAAAUGGUUAGCAUGCUUAUUUAAGCUUUUAUUGUAAACCAAUAUAUCAUCAAAAUAGACUAUCUUAUACUUGCUUGCCUAUAAAUGCACAAAAUUCAUGAUUCACCAAUCUUAUAAACUCGAUGCAUUGGUAAGAUCAAAUGGCAUGACUAACAAUUCAUACAAACCAAACUUAGUCUUAAAAGCAAUUUUGCAUUCAUCAUUUAUUUCCAUUCUAAUUUGAUGAUAUCCAGUUUUCAAAUCAAUUUUUGUAAAAACAUACGAACCAUGCAAUUCAUCUAAUAUGUCACACAACUGAUUAGUACUUAAUAGUGUUUUUUUAUCAAGGUUUUAUAUCAUUAUUUUGCACUUGAAGUAUCAAUAACUCCUUAACUAAAGCAUGUUUUAUAAUAACAUAUCUAAUAAUAUAUGAUACCUUUAAUUUAUGGUAAAUGUUCAUCUUAAAUGCAGGCCUAUCACAUAAAUGAAAGGAUUGAUUGAUGAGUUUAAAUACUAAAAUUGAAAGGACAAAGAGAGGGCCAAAACUUAGAAAAGAGAUGUUGGUGCAGUCCAAACUGGAACACUGUUCGGUAAUUGGGUCAUAUCUAGAGCUGUAGAUCUCGGAUUUAGGUCUGCUUUAUAUGGAUGGAAAGGUAGGACAUAGGCCUAUAACUUUCAUAGGAGUCCACAAUUUAAAUCAAGUUCAAAUUAUAGCAACAACGGAGAAGUCCAGAUCUGUCCUAUAGCCCAGACAUUGUUCAGUGUUCAGCCCAUAUCUCGAGUUCUAGAAGUCCAAAUGACCUCAAUUUUUUUUCCUAGAAAGAUAAGACAAUUUUCUAGAACUUUCAUGAGUAUAGUUUAUUCCAAUUAUGAUGUUAGCAAUGAUGUUUUGUUUAAACAAGAAGAUAAGGAUUUUCACCAAGUCAAGAGUUGGUCACCCACUCAACAAUUAGUCAUCAAAUCAAUAGUUCCAAAUUUUGGCCUAUAAAAGGAGGCAUUUGCCA